GUAUAGGGUAGGCGUAGCGAAAGCGAGUCUUAAUAGGGCGUUUAGUCGCUGGGUAUAGACCCGAAACCGGGCGAUCUAUCCAUGAGCAGGUUGAAGGUUAGGUAACACUGACUGGAGGACCGAACCCACUCCCGUUGAAAAGGUAGGGGAUGACUUGUGGAUCGGAGUGAAAGGCUAAUCAAGCUCGGAGAUAGCUGGUUCUCCUCGAAAGCUAUUUAGGUAGCGCCUCAUGUAUCACUC
rnacentral:rRNA from 1 species